rnacentral:tRNA from 1 species
GCGGGCGUAGCUCAGUGGUAGAGCGUCAGCCUUCCAAGCUGAACGUCGGGGGUUCGAAUCCCCUCGCCCGCU